rnacentral:rRNA from 1 species
GAUGAACGCUGGCGGCGUGCCUAAUACAUGCAAGUCGAGCGAACGGACGAGAAGCUUGCUUCUCUGAUGUUAGCGGCGGACGGGUGAGUAACACGUGGAUAGCCUACCUAUAAGACUGGGAUAACUUCGGGAAACCGGAGCUAAUACCGGAUAAUAUUUUGAACCGCAUGGUUCAAAAGUGAAAGACGGUCUUGCUGUCACUUAUAGAUGGAUCCGCGCUGCAUUAGCUAGUUGGUAAGGUGACGGCUUACCAAGGCAACGAUGCAUAGCCGACCUGAGAGGGUGAUCGGCCACACUGGAACUGAGACACGGUCCAGACUCCUACGGGAGGCAGCAGUAGGGAAUCUUCCGCAAUGGGCGAAAGCCUGACGGAGCAACGCCGCGUGAGUGAUGAAGGUCUUCGGAUCGUAAAACUCUGUUAUUAGGGAAGAACAUAUGUGUAAGUAACUGUGCACAUCUUGACGGUACCUAAUCAGAAAGCCACGGCUAACUACGUG